CAUUAAGUAUUUUAACAAAAAUUUUAGUUUUGGAGACUAAAGAUGAUUUAUCUUCCUUAUUGA
rnacentral:tRNA from 1 species